ensembl:lncRNA
GAGCCUUUGACCUGCACUGAGGGGACAGUGGGUCUUUACAAGGCACCCAUCCUUACAGUUCAAGAUGGACAGCUUCAGAAAGAGCUGAUGCCAAUCAAUAAGAGAUGGGUCCUACCCGUGUCGCACUAUCCCUGGCUGGAAGUGAAGGCUAGGAGGCAAAGAAAGGGUCACAAGCCAACAGUAUAUGACAAGGACUUUGAAGAAACCCUUUGCAGAGUAAACACAGAUUUUUCUUCUGUCAAGCCACCCGGGGUGACUCAUCUCUUUGGAAACAUGUCUCUGGCGUUCUUUCCUCCGGCCUGGACUUCUUGGAGGCAGUUAGGCAGAUUGGUGGCCGAUGACCAGGAUGACCAGAGAGAAGUCAGGACUUGACGUCCUAGAUCCAGCUCUACCGUGGACUCGAGGCCGAGGUCUGCUGUGUGCAAAGCACAGCUCUGCAGCCAGUGUUUCAGAGUUUGCGUGAUCAGUGACUGAGG